rnacentral:rRNA from 1 species
CACGCACCCAUGCAAACCCACACGUACCCCCGCUGCCAACAGAAGUCCGUUUCACAGGCGCCGUGGCUUCCAGCACGCACGCUAGCUUUCUGGGAAGCGCCCCCAUCGAGAUCUGCCCGUCCGCCCCCGGCCCACAUCACGCCAGCAGUCAGCAGAGUACCCGAUGCCCCCACUAGGGAGGAAAAACAACGCACUCCAACUCCAGUGACCAGCAGAGCCAUUUGGUGCGAGCGAGAUAACUACGCGCGGCUCCCCGGUCUCUCUCGCUGUCCACCUCCGACCCCCUCCCCUCCUCCGCCCAUUCCCCUUGUUCUCGUGAUCGCCUCCGGCCCCGAGGUCCGGCGAGAGGGACGCGCCGCGCAGCUCGCGGGAGGUUCUUGCUGCGGAGCUCGUCCAUUUGCGAGCAGAUCGGGCGAGAAGCUCGCCGCCGGCGUGAGGGGCCGUCUUCCGCGUCCGUCCGUUGGUUGGGGUGGAGACAGUGACACAAGUGGGCUGGCUGCUUCGCCGCUGUUGCUUGUAGGUGGCGGUAGCCUCUGGAACACUCCCGCUGCAACAGGCAGGCCCAACAGUUUAUAUAUUUGGAAAUACUACAAGUAGCGAAAUCAGGCGUCGUCGGCAUGCAGUCGUAUUGGGCACCGCUCUUCCCUAACACUGCCGUGGAAAAGCAGGGGAUGCAUUCCUUGUACAGCGAUUAUGCACAUAUAUUUGACUUGUCAUCGGAGAAUACAAGCCUGGGAAGCUACAUCGCUCCUAAAGUGGGGCACCUGGCUGUCUUGUUGAAACGUUCUGCCCUCCUUACUGGAAGCGCAUUUUUUACCAUUGCCAUCCGCUACAGAGCUCUGCUGGACAGAUGGAUACUGCAAAAAUGCGCCGUCUCCCAGGGUGCACCUGUUCAAUCAACCAUGAUGUUGCGAUCCUGUUGGCAGUGUAGAUCCCUGCCUUUGUUUGUUGGCAUUGGUGUUCUAAUGGCAAGGCUCUGUAGUUACAUUACCAUUCAGAGUCCUAACAAUAAUCGGCAAGUCAUCCGCGGCAUUGAAGCUAACCUUCAGGGCGAUUCGAUCAUCGAGAAGAACGAGUUCUGCAAUCAGCAAUCCGUCCUUCCAAGUUUGCUUGGCAGCAAGCAUGACUAUGUCCGUUUGCUGCUUCAUUUUAUUUGUAGCACUGCCAUUUUUAAGGCGUAUACGGUGCCAAAGGUGACCAGCUUCAAGGAGAGGAGCAUAGAAAGGAACUAUGAUUUCAGUGCACUUCGGAGCAUCGUGGCAAGAAAUGGACAUUAUCUGACUUUUAUUGGAGCGUUGGUGACUCUGCAGAUCUUUCUACAGAUGAACAGAGUGAACACUACCACUUCACUGCUGCCAAUGCUGAUUCAAACAAUAAGUUCCAGGAGCAAAGCUGCGGUUUUCAGCAAGAUGGUGAUAAUAUUGGUGAACUCGUGCAGCAUUCUUGGAUCCGCUUUCACGACAAAACACCACGGUCGUGCGGCAACGUUAACCGUCAGCAUUGUUCUAAUGGUAUUUUGCCAGAUGGCGAUUCCAUUGAUCGUCGAGUUCCACAUCGGGUUUGGCGGCGCAAGCCGAAUGCCGAGAGGGUACACCGCUGCCAUGUUCUUGCUCACCUGCGUCGUGUCCUGCGGCCUCAGUUGGUCAUGGGGCUCUAUGUUCUGGACCUUUCCCGGCAAGAAGGCCCACUCGGCAGGUCAGCUCUUAGGCAUGGCUCUGAAUUUGGCCCUAUGCUACGCCCAGAUGCAGUACUUCCUGAUGAUGCUGUGGCGGCUGAAGAACGCCAUCCUUGCCUACUAUGCCAUGUGGAUUUGGUCGUGAUUAAAUUAGGUUCUGCACAUAAACCACGGCUAGACGAUAGCGCCGUGGAGUAGUUCAGUGGGUCUGAAUCUCAUGCUAUCCCUUUUUUUCUUGGACAUAUUUUUGUAUAGUUUUUGUCUGUAAGUACCUUUCCGAAUAGUUCUCCUGUAAGCUUGCAGGGGUCCUAUCUGUAGUAGUAGGUCGCACUGUCUAUAUACCGUAUGUAAAUAGAAGCAUAAGCGCGCUUCGCUGCUCUGGUCUUUGAUGUGCCGAUUUUAUCUUCUCCUGUUGGAU